rnacentral:ncRNA from 1 species
AUAAUGAUACUUCUGCCGAGUCCCAGUUAUCGCAAGGACGGCAGCUCGCAUGAAGGGAGAGGUGAAACGCCUAUGU